rnacentral:rRNA from 1 species
UGGGGAAUAUUGCACAAUGGGCGCAAGCCUGAUGCAGCCAUGCCGCGUGUAUGAAGAAGGCCUUCGGGUUGUAAAGUACUUUCAGCGGGGAGGAAGGGAGUAAAGUUAAUACCUUUGCUCAUUGACGUUACCCGCAGAAGAAGCACCGGCUAACUCCGUGCCAGCAGCCGCGGUAAUACGGAGGGUGCAAGCGUUAAUCGGAAUUACUGGGCGUAAAGCGCACGCAGGCGGUUGAUUGAGUCAGAUGUGAAAUCCCCGGGCUCAACCUGGGAACUGCAUUCGAAACUGGCAGGCUAGAGUCUUGUAGAGGGGGGUAGAAUUCCAGGUGUAGCGGUGAAAUGCGUAGAGAUCUGGAGGAAUACCGGUGGCGAAGGCGGCCCCCUGGACAAAGACUGACGCUCAGGUGCGAAAGCGUGGGGAGCAAACAGG